GCCCGAGUGGCGGAACUGGUAGACGCGCUGGAUUCAAAAUCCUGUGUUCGCGAGAACGUGCCGGUUCGAUUCCGGCCUCGGGUA
rnacentral:tRNA from 1 species